UACGAAGGGGGCUAGCGUUGCUCGGAAUGACUGGGCGUAAAGGGCGCGUAGGCGGCUUGCACAGUCAGGCGUGAAAUUCCUGGGCUCAACCUGGGGACUGCGCUUGAGACGUGUGGGCUUGAGUGGGGAAGAGGGUCGUGGAAUUCCCAGUGUAGAGGUGAAAUUCGUAGAUAUCAGGAAGAACACCCGUGGCUAAGGCGGCUCUCUAGUACGGUACUGACGCUGAGACGCGAAAGCGUGGGGAGCGAACAGG
rnacentral:rRNA from 1 species